GUAAUAGGAAAACAUUUUGAAUUUUUAAAAGCGUUUGAUGCUGCUACCAUUUUGGGCGUAUAUGUGUCUUCGGGCAAGACAUUAAACAGAAAUUUAGCGAGAAAUAAUAAGAGAAAAAGUAAACAAUCUUCGCGAAGGAAACUUGGAUACCGCGUCCAUUAAUUCAAGCUGUCGCUUACAAGUUUCAUUUCUUCGAANACACAGAGCGAGNUACUUGCUCCAUGGUCGCGGUGCUGAUACCAUGCUAGGAAAUGGUCGAGAUA